ACGAACGCUGGCGGCGUGCUUAGCACAUGCAAGUCGAACGGAAAGGCCCUGCUUUUGUGGGGUGCUCGAGUGGCGAACGGGUGAGUAACACGUGAGUAACCUGCCCUUGACUUUGGGAUAACUUCAGGAAACUGGGGCUAAUACCGGAUAGGAGCUCCUGCUGCAUGGUGGGGGUUGGAAAGUUUCGGCGGUUGGGGAUGGACUCGCGGCUUAUCAGCUUGUUGGUGGGGUAGUGGCUUACCAAGGCUUUGACGGGUAGCCGGCCUGAGAGGGUGACCGGCCACAUUGGGACUGAGAUACGGCCUAGACUCCUACGGGAGGCAGCAGUGGGGAAUAUUGCACAAUGGGCGGAAGCCUGAUGCAGCAACGCCGCGUGCGGGAUGACGGCCUUCGGGUUGUAAACCGCUUUCGCCUGUGACGAAGCGUGAGUGACGGUAAUGGGUAAAGAAGCACCGGCUAACUACGUG
rnacentral:rRNA from 1 species